GCCCCUGUGGUGGAAUUGGUAGACGCAGAGGACUCAAAAUCCUCCGCCGAAAGGCUUGUCGGUUCGAGUCCGACCGGGGGCACCA
rnacentral:tRNA from 1 species